rnacentral:sRNA from 1 species
AGUGCUUGCACUGAGCCCACAGUCCUUAUCCUCAUGCGUGGCCCAUUGUCUAAUGAUCGUCCUCUCAAAAUAGGUGGCAGGCCACUGCCCAAUGCUGAAGUCACUGUUUAACGAAGGUGGAGCCUGCCUUUACCUGGUACACCCAUAUAAGGAAAAGCCUGAGGUCAGGAGCAAGCAGACACCAGCACUGCUCUUUCUCCAAGACGGCCGGCCAUGCUCUCCUCCUCUGCCAGUCUCCUCCACCACUCUCUAACCUGAGAGCCUGUGGAACCUGCCCGUCUCCCCUCCUCCAUCAGACACACCUGCCUAGGAAACAGGAAAGGACCUCGGAAGUCUUCUAAGGAGAGUCAUGGCCUAUUACCAGGAGCCUUCAGUGGAGACCUCCAUCAUCAAGUUCAAAGACCAGGACUUUACCACCUUGCGGGAUCACUGCCUGAGCAUGGGCCGGACGUUUAAGGAUGAGACAUUCCCUGCAGCAGAUUCUUCCAUAGGCCAGAAGCUGCUCCAGGAAAAACGCCUCUCCAAUGUGAUAUGGAAGCGGCCACAGGAUCUACCAGGGGGUCCUCCUCACUUCAUCCUUGAUGAUAUAAGCAGAUUUGACAUCCAACAAGGAGGCGCAGCUGACUGCUGGUUCCUGGCAGCACUGGGCUCCUUGACUCAGAACCCACAGUACAGGCAGAAGAUCCUGAUGGUCCAAAGCUUUUCACACCAGUAUGCUGGCAUUUUCCGUUUCCGGUUCUGGCAAUGUGGCCAGUGGGUGGAAGUGGUGAUUGAUGACCGCCUACCUGUCCAGGGAGAUAAAUGCCUCUUUGUGCGUCCUCGCCACCAAAACCAAGAGUUCUGGCCCUGCCUGCUGGAGAAGGCCUAUGCCAAGCUGCUUGGAUCCUAUUCCGAUCUGCACUAUGGCUUCCUCGAGGAUGCCCUGGUGGACCUCACAGGAGGCGUGAUCACCAACAUCCAUCUGCACUCUUCCCCUGUGGACCUGGUGAAGGCAGUGAAGACAGCGACCAAGGCAGGCUCCCUGAUAACCUGUGCCACUCCAAGCGGGCCAACAGAUACAGCACAGGCGAUGGAGAAUGGGCUGGUGAGUCUGCACGCCUACACUGUGACCGGGGCUGAGCAGAUUCAAUACAGAAGGGGCUGGGAAGAAAUUAUCUCCCUGUGGAACCCCUGGGGCUGGGGCGAGACCGAAUGGAGAGGGCGCUGGAGUGAUGG